UUGAUGGCUGGAUGUGUGCACACAUGUAAUGGGGUAUCAUGGUCACGUUGCUUGGUGUGCAGAGGCGACCCGGCACCGGCACUUGCCCGGCGGUGGGACUUCGCCGUGGCCGGUGGGAGAGUUGGGUGGCAGCAAGCGGUGCGGCGAGGGGAGGCACACGGUCCAGAGGGUGGGACUCUUGCUAGCCGCUCUCCCGGUCCAUUUGGUUUCUUGCGGCCACGGUGGCGUUUCUCGGAUCGAGCGCCGCUCGUCCUUCUCUUCACUACUUCUCCACAAUGCUAGCCCCUCCACCUCUCCUUCCUCCCCCUCGUUGUGUGGUGUCCAUGGGAUGUGCCUAGAUCCAGAUCAGGCGUAGGUUAGGUGAGGCUGAUGGUUGGGUGAAGGAGUAGGGAAAGCGGGCGACGAGGACAGGAAGAAGCCGGCCGUCGUGGUGCAGUGGGGCUGCCGGGAAGGAAGAGGUCGGCUGCGUCCCCGGCGGUGUCGGUGGAGCUGCUCCUCAACGAGAUUCGGCCAUGGAGAGGACCGUGGUGCCAGCGCAGCCUCGCCCCCUCUAGCGCAGCGCAAGAGAUCAGCACACCAUCGAACUGAGAUUAGGCUUCUGUGGUGUUGCUUUGUAUACAGAUGACAUGCUCGCCUCUUGGUUUAAUUUAGGAGUGUAUUUAGAAGCUAAAACUGAACAAUAAUAUCAGUUUAGAGAUGCAGUUGACCAUUUUUCA